UAAUACGUAGGAUGCAAGCGUUGCUCGGAUUUAUUGGGUGUAAAGGGCGCGUAGGUGGCCCAGUAAGUCAUAGGUGAAAGCCCUCGGCUUAACCGAGGAACUGCCUAUGAUACUGCAGGGCUAGAGUACUGGAGAGGGAAGUGGAAUUCCUGGUGUAGCGGUGAAAUGCGUAGAUAUCAGGAGGAACACCGGUGGCGAAGGCGGCUUCCUGGACAGAUACUGACACUGAGGCGCGAAAGCGUGGGUAGCAAACAGGAUUAGAUACCCUGGUAGUCCACGCCCUAAACGAUGGGCACUAGGUGUGAGGACUUUUUAAAGUCUUCGUGCCGCAGCUAACGCAAUAAGUGCCCCACCUGGGAAGUACGGCCGCAAGGUUG
rnacentral:rRNA from 1 species